GGGUCGUUAGCUCAAUUGGUAGAGCAGUUGACUUUUAAUCAAUUGGUUCGGGGUUCGAGUCCCCGACGACCUACCA
rnacentral:tRNA from 1 species